rnacentral:lncRNA from 1 species
AAGAUACACAGGUGUGCACGGACUUCUUCAUGACUUUAGGAUGUGGUCACGCUCACCAUACCUGGUAAGCCCGUAAGGCUCCUGAGAGGCAGGCAGUGGACCUUCUCACCACUUCUGUUUGGUCUCAUAGGAAAUGUCCAAGUUCAGAAAGUCUACUACUGUCUAGUCCCCUCUUCAGAUAGAACAUCCAAGUCUCGGUGGGCUUAAUUGACCCAUCCGAGGUUAGAAAAACCUCUAGAUGGUCCAGGACUGAAAUUCAGGGUUUCUAACUCUGAAUACGGUCUUCCGCUCCAUUUCGGGACACGUUGGGGAAAGACCCAGUCACAGACCAUAAAACUCACAGACCACCAAAAAUCCGUUACCCCCAGGUCAGGAACUCGGGAACAGACUCUGGGCACGUGUGUCCUGGAGAAGAGCCAAGAGCGUGGGUGUUUUCCUUUCUCCCUUUCCCGUGGCCAUUGAGUUUCUCCUAUGUGUAAAGAUUCCCCUCCCCUUUUUCCAGCUCUGAUAAAGUGAGGCACUGUUGCUUGUAUUUUGGUGAAGUUCCAAAUGCUGCGCUCACACGUCCCUCCCUCCGUUUGCACGUAUUUCCCUUCCAUGUCACCGCCACCCGUAUGCAGGACGAUAGGCACCACGUCAGGGAAGGCACCACGGGGAGGAGGGGGGGGAAACGUCAUCUUCUUCUAAACAUACAAAAACUGACAAUGUGAGAAUUUUCUAGAUAAAAUUAGUCACGUGUAUGCCACAAAAUGAGUCGGCUAAGUUAGAAAGAUUAAUAUGGUGACUGAACACGCAGCAGCCUUGAGGACACAGGCCAGGCCCCCGUGCUGGUGUGGGCGGGUCACCAAAGCAGCAGCAUCCUGUGCACUGAGUGGGACUCAGACACGAACAGGAGCACAUGACCAGGGUCUCGAGGAGAUUUGCAUGGAGGCGAGAAAACCCACCAAAGACAAUACACAAGACUCAAGCUCAAAGCUAAUGGAAACCCUAGCACUUUAUCAAGCAGACAUCUUCUCCCUCGGCAAUUCUAAGGUAACAGACUGGGAGUCUCCUGGGAGGUCACGGGUGAAUCAGAAAGAAGACUGAUCAGAGAGAACGGAAGUAAGAGGUGGAGUGUGCGGGAGGAGACUGGAAGCACCAGAGCAGGGAAGACCCCUUCCCAAAACCAACAUGGUGCAGCACGGCCUUGUCAACUAAAGGGAAAGACAUCGUGGGCAUAAGGUCAGGUAGGGCACGCAGGGCUGCUCGGUGACAUGCAUCCCAGGGACGGGAAUUUCCCACCCUUGAUCCCAGAUCCCCUCACUUCCUAUCCCUGGGACCCUGGCUGAGCUCCAGACACCUCAUCCACCUCCCAGGGUCCCUGUGCAUAUCGUGGGCUCACACAGGAAAGCACCCGCCAUGCGUGGGUCCCGAGACACGACAGGCAUCCCUGAUCCUCACCAUGACCCUGCACGGUGGAGUUGCUGGGGAAGCGCCUGACCUGGCUCCACAGCGCUCGCAUUCCUUCCGCUUUGCCACCAGCUGCUGAUAUGCUCUAGAGCAGCAACCCCUUUUGUCAGGUUAAAUAUGGUAUGGAACCCUCGGGACGCCUGGGUGGCUCAGGCGGUUAAGCGUCUGACUUCUGCUCAGGUCAUGAUCUCGUGGUUUGUGGGUUUGAGCUCUGCAUCAGGCUCUGUGCUGACAGCUCAGAGCCUGGAGCCUGCUUCCUCUGAUUCUGUGUCUCCCUCUCUCUCUGCCCCUCCCCUGCUCUCUCGCUCUCUCUCUCUCAAAAAUAAACGUUAAAAUAAAGUGUUUUAAAACAUGAUAUGGAACCCCGAUGAGAAAACCCCUGUGAGCAGAGCUCCACUGGCUGAAAUCAGAAGACUGAGCUCAGCCUCUCACUGAAGCCCUCCCCAUCCCACAUCCCGACCCCAGGCGGGGCAGGCACUCAGAGAGUCCAGGGCUCCACAUACCCAGCUUGGGAACUAUGAAUUUAAGAUAUAACUUUUCACAAAGGAAUGGCUCCACCAAAAAUGACCACGACUUCAAUAACGUGUGUGGUUACUUUUCAGACACAACAUUGUCAGGUAGGUUAUACUGUCAGGUCCAUCUUACAGACGGCAAGACUGAGGCUCAAAGCAGCUAAUCAGCUCAUCCAAGGACACACACGUGAUGGGUGACAGGACCGGGAUUCGGCCUCAGAUGCCCGCACUGUGAAUCUACUAUUUAUUCUCUCUGAUGACCAAAAUUCCUUAUUAGCCCUCCUUAGCCUGAAGACAAAGCGGAGCUGAGACAACAGAGUGGCCCUUCUUCCAGGCUCCCCGACCCCUUCGCCUCCAACUGACGCCACCACCUGGUCUCCUUCAGCAUUGGAGACUGGAACCCACAGGAGGCUGGCAUACUAGGCACACAGAACCUCCCCGGGGGCCCUCGGCCCCAACCCAGGCAGAGGCCCUCGGGCUCCAGCUGCUAGUCUCCGCGGGGGCUCACCUCGCUCAUCCAGCUCUCUGGGAACCCCUCCCUCCACCCACCCCAGAAAGCAGAGCCAGGCUGGAAAUGCUCUCACCAGGCCAUCCAACAUAGUCAGCCGUUCCCAAGCGACUGCUCCUUUGGAGACAAAUCUCCCCGACCUGGUCUGCAUCAUAAACAUGCCUUUCCCAACCCAGGGCUUGGCCCAGGACUUAAGGAUUCUGAGAAAUGCCCCAGAAUUUGGUUCUUGGAGGGUCCCAGCAAAAAGAGAUAUUGGGGAAGAAGCAGACUCAUUUGCAUACAGUGAAGGAAAGCCACUGGGUGGUAGGCGCCCACCCUGUGCUAGGUUCUGGGGAUACAGAAAGGAAAAGACACGUCUCUUUAGAGAUCAUUCAGUCCCUCUUAUUCAUUCAAGAUAGGAGAAAACGGAGACCCAGAGAUGACGGAUUGACCCGAGAUGUUCAUAUGAUUCAAGCCAACAGGGGCCUUUCCUGAGACUUCUCAAGCUGGAGCUGGAGGAAAAGGCUGUGUAGCUGGGGCUUUCCAGCCAGGCUGGGACCACCACACAGUGAGGGAGACGCCUGGCACAGAACGCAAGGAGAGAUCAAAUCCGUGGCCACGUCAAUGCUUUCCAAUAUGUCCCCUCUAACACUUAAACCAGAGGCAGCCGAGUUUCUGUCACUUGCCACCAGAGAGUUUGAAUUAUGAGACCUUGCUGUGCCCAUCCCCCCACAUCUGCCUCUGCUUUGUGACUCAACUGUCCUCUCUCUUGCCUGCCCAAGGCACCAGGCUUUCUCCCAUGCUGUAGGGCCAAUGUCCCCUCCUCCAACACCCAUCUCUACCAGGCUCUCCGGAGCUGCUGGGUAGAGCCUCCCAAAAUCUCAGUGCCCAGCCCCCAUCACCCGGGGGCUGGGUGGCCAAGCUGAGUUAAGCUAGAAAGAACAGGAGAGUUCAGGAAGGAACAUGUGUCUCAGCUAACAGGGCAGGGUAGACUGUGCUGGAAUGGUGGAAUAAGCUGAAUGCUGUCUGAACAGGGGCAUGGUGUGACUCCUUCCGAGAGAUCAGAAAUGCCACAGAAAGGACAAUGAGGUAGAAGGUACUAAGAACCAGGAGGCAAGGCUCCAGGCUUCAUUCUGUCAUGACCAGUAAACUCAAGACCUCUGCCAGUCCUCCCAGAUCCCACAUUCCAAAACAUCAUGGUCUCUUCUCCUGUCUGCCCGGAUCCAAUGGACGCUGGUUUUCCUUCCUCUGGCAAGCUCCUGCCAGCUCAGGAUCCUGCCAGGAUGCCCAAUGCCUCAUCUCCAGAUCUAGUCUUGCCAUGAGCCCAGCUGCAGCGGCCCUGAGCCGUCACUAAACUGAGCAGACCCCACCCUGCCUUCUCCGCACCAGGAUUAGAGGUUAGGGAAGGGACAUGAGAGCAGAUUUCCUGCUGUCGCUUCCAUCGGACCAGACUGAGAUGAGAUGAGAUGGAAGGCGUGUGGUGGCAGCCGUGGGCGCAGUGGGGGAAGCAGGACUGGCCAUCAAACAGAUUAUUGUGGACGCAUGCGGGUCUGGGCAAGCUAUUUGCCAACACGGCUUGCAUCUCAGGCUGAUGUUGGCAGAAGCCCAGGGUCUCGGCCUGCAAGACGCUGGGGAAGAACAUCUACCAACCCUGUUCUCCUUAAAAGGAGAGCUCCUCCUCAAACAGGCACACAGGACACAGCUGUGGGGGUGGAGAACCAGCCAGCGCUACCAACAAGCAGGACAUAGCUUCCAGCCCAGGAGGAGUUUAGUGUUUCAAACCACACAUCACAAAUCAUUUCCUCUGCACAUUCCUUGGAAGUUUGGGGGCAUUAACUUUCCAUCUUAUCUUUCCUAGGGUGGAUGCCAGGAGCUGGCCCUAGUGAUGUUUGCAUUUGAACAACAGUGAGAUUGGGUGUCAGCUGCCCCAGGGGCGCCGCCGAGGAAGAUGAAGAAAUGGAGCAGGCUGUCUCCAGGCAAAGGAGGAGAGAAGGGCAGAAUCCGGAUGGUAUGGAAUGAACAGCAAGGGAGGGAAGCGGAAAGGGGAACUGGGAUUUGCUACUGUUCUAUCAAAUUGCAGUGUGCAAAGCUAGCUCCAGGUGGUGGGCUCCUGAGUGUCACCGCCAGGGUACAAACCUCAGUUGUGCCCUCUACUUACUGUGUGACCAUGUGUGAAUGGGCAAACUCUCUGAACUUGAGUUUGCCUCUCAGCAAAACAGUACCUACUUCCUGGGACUGUCAGGGGCACUGAAUGAGAUGACAAGCGACCCUUAGCCCAGCACCUGGUACACAGCAAACACUCCAUCCAAUCCGGACACGAUUAUCAUUCUGCCAGAACUUCUGUGAAAUUUGGUUACAGGUAGGUGGCAAAGCCUGGGUUCUGGUCUUUCUGCUGAUCUCAACAGAUGGGUUUUGAAUAGGCAGGCUUACCUGAGUCACAGAUGACCCCUCUACCUUGACCUAUGAAAUCCAGAGCUCUAGAAAGGCAGACAAAAGCGCAGCAUUAACAUUUCACCUGCUAUUGCCAAAGUGAUAAAUAAUUAGAAUAUUACUUAAAGAUAUGCAUCCGUGAGUUCGAGCCCCGCGUCAGGCUCUGGGCUGAUGGCUCAGAGCCUGGAGCCUGUUUCCGAUUCUGUGUCUCCCUCUCUCUCUCUGCCCCUCCCCCGUUCAUGCUCUGUCUCUCUCUGUCCCAAAAAUAAACAAACAUUGAAAAAAAAAAUUAAAAAAAAAAAAAAAAAGGGGCGCCUGGGUGGCGCAGUCGGUUAAGCGUCCGACUUCAGCCAGGUCACGAUCUCGCGGUCCGUGAGUUCGAGCCCCGCGUCAGGCUCUGGGCUGAUGGCUCAGAGCCUGGAGCCUGUUUCCGGUUCUGUGUCUCCCUCUCUCUCUCUGCCCCUCCCCCGUUCAUGCUCUGUCUCUCUCUGUCCCAAAAAUAAACAAACAUUGAAAAAAAAAAAAAUUUUUAAAAAAAAGAUAUGCAGAUAUCUACGUUGGCUAACCUUAAGCCAUUGGAAAUCAGUGUUAAGUCUGUCCUAGUUUUUCCUCGGGCUUGCGUCUUCUGUAAAGGGGAUCUGUGCCUGCGUUAUAUAUAUCAUUUGAAAAAAAAAAAAAGGUUCUGCUGCUUUAAAAAAGAAAAAAGUUUGAAAUCCACCAUCCUAAAUAAGAUCACCUCCAGUUACAGGUCUGCACCUCUGGGACCUACUUCAAGUCAUUUGUCUCCGGAAGAGAUGCCUCUUUGAGAGUCCUGAGCAUCCAGUGGGUUGAGACCAAACCCAGGGAAUUAUCGCUAAAGAAACCCAAGCCCUGCUUCGGAGACAUGUUGGCGGUAAACACUGACCGUAUGAUGUAACUAUUUCUUUUGUUUUAAGAGACACUCCUUUCCUACCACUGAGGCAUUGCUGUCAAUUUAACAAAGCCAAAAUUGAGUUCAUGGAGAGAAAAGGGCCUCUUCCACUUCAAGGACUACAACCUUUGAAAAUGCAUUUAAAAGAGAGUAAAGUUUUUUUUAGAUGUGAAUAGCCAGAGACCCAGCGAGGUGUAGGAAAGGUGACCCUGCCAGAGGGCCUUCCCGAGACAAGGUUCACUCAGGUCAGCCGGCAGUCUGUCGCAGGUAAGAGGCAAGGGUCACCCUCUGCCCUCCUCCGCCCUGGCCCUGGCACCCUGGAGCCCUGACAGGUGACAACUUACUUGCAGGACUAAGCAGCCCCCUCCUCCGGCGAGGGAGUGAGGAGGGGUUGGAGAGGCCAGUCGGUAAGAAGCAAAAGAAGAAACCUUCCUUAAGAAAAUUACAAUCUCCACUUAGGGGCUAGGCUUGCCAUCCAGCCAGAGGGCUAACUUUUUUUUUUAAAGGAAUUUAUUGGGGCACCUGGGUGGCUCAGUCGGUUGUGCAUCCGACUCCGGCUCAGGUCACGAUCUCAUAGCUCAUGAGUUCGAGCCCUGCGUCAGGCUCUGUGCUGACAGGUCAGAGCCUGGAGCCUGCUUUGGAUUCUGUGUCUCCUUCUCUCUCUGCCCCUCCCCUGCUUGUGCCCUGUCUCUCUCUGUCUCUCAAAGAUGAAUAAAUGUAAAAAAAAAAAAUUUUUUUUUAAAGGAAUUUAUUGGAAGGAUACAGGGUCGCUCACUGAAUCAAAGGCAAAAACCAAAAUGUAUUAUGCCUUGGGAAGGACGGAACUAGGUGGCUCCUGGAAAUGCUAACUGGUGGCUUAUCUUUCUAGAAUGUGGGGAGAUGGAGGUGGCCUCCCUCACCUUCCCCUGCCCCAGCUUUGGGCAGAGUGAUUGACAGGUUCUCCCAACCAUAUCAAAGGAAGAGGGUGUAAUUCAAUUCCCCCAUGGGAAAA